rnacentral:snRNA from 1 species
AUAAGGAAUUUUGAUGACUUCAA